rnacentral:rRNA from 1 species
AUUGAACGCUGGCGGCAUGCUUUACACAUGCAAGUCGAACGGUAACAGGCCGCAAGGUGCUGACGAGUGGCGAACGGGUGAGUAAUGCAUCGGAACGUGCCCAGUCGUGGGGGAUAACUACUCGAAAGAGUAGCGAAUACCGCAUACGAUCUAUGGAUGAAAGCGGGGGACCGUAAGGCCUCGCGCGAUUGGAGCGGCCGAUGUCAGAUUAGGUAGUUGGUGGGGUAAAGGCUCACCAAGCCAACGAUCUGUAGCUGGUCUGAGAGGACGACCAGCCACACUGGGACUGGGACACGGCCCAGACUCCUACGGGAGGCCGCAGUGGGGAAUUUUGGACAAUGGGCGCAAGCCUGAUCCAGCAAUGCCGCGUGCAGGAAGAAGGCCUUCGGGUUGUAAACUGCUUUUGUACGGAACGAAACGGCUCUGGUUAAUACCCGGGGCUAAUGACGGUACCGUAAGAAUAAGCACCGGCUAACUACGUG